GUCUCCGUAGCCCAAUUGGAUAGAGCGUCGGCCUCCGAAGCCGAAGGUUAUGGGUUCGAAUCCCGUCGGGGACG
rnacentral:tRNA from 1 species